GGCUGGGACAGGAAAGGGAAGGAAACAGAAGAAAAGAAAAUGAAGGAUAAAAGCAUUCAAACAAGCCUCUGAACGCGAAGACGUACUUCGACAUCGCCCAAGGAUUUGUUAAUUAGCUUGCCAACAUCUGUCCUCUCUAUGCAAGAUGGGAUUAGAAUACAAAAAAACCCAGAACACCCGUCGUAUGAUCACCACCUUUUCGCAACAGCACCCAUAACAACAGAUGUCAACCACCCUCCACCCCCACCGCAAUAGCUGAGAGCAGAGUCUGCUUACAAAGGUGCAGGUGGAGGAACAGAGAAAAAAGGAGAGGCUGUUGAAGAUGAAGCAAGGAGACAAGGAAGAAGCUUUGAUGAAACUUUUACUGCAUCUCUGUGUAAACAACUUCACAAACUGUUGUAGCUGCUAACUGUUCUGGGGCCAUGAAAGCAGCUUUGGAGGAACAGGUUGUUCUUACUAGUCAGCAUCAUCUCUGUAUUUUGCUUGAAUAUUCAGUCACUACAUGUAUGCAGCACACAGUGUAUGUGCAUAUUUUUGUAUUUUGUAUACCUAAAAUCAAUAUUAUUAACCAGAAGUCCAGAAAUAAAC